rnacentral:tRNA from 2 species
GACAGUGUAGCUCAGGGUUAGAACACUUGCCCAACAAACAAGGGACCCUGGAUCUAAUCCCCAGCACUGUCU